rnacentral:rRNA from 1 species
GACGAACGCUGGCGGCGUGCCUAAUACAUGCAAGUAGAACGCUGAAGAGAGGAGCUUACUCUUCUUGGAUGAGUUGCGAACGGGUGAGUAACGCGUAGGUAACCUGCCUUGUAGCGGGGGAUAACUAUUGGAAACGAUAGCUAAUACCGCAUAACAAUGGAUGACACAUGUCAUUUAUUUGAAAGGGGCAAUUGCUCCACUACAAGAUGGACCUGCGUUGUAUUAGCUAGUAGGUGAGGUAAUGGCUCACCUAGGCGACGAUACAUAGCCGACCUGAGAGGGUGAUCGGCCACACUGGGACUGAGACACGGCCCAGACUCCUACGGGAGGCAGCAGUAGGGAAUCUUCGGCAACGGGGGCAACCCUGACCGAGCAACGCCGCGUGAGUGAAGAAGGUUGUCGGAUCGUAAAGCUCUGUUGUAAGUCAAGAACGGGUGUGAGAGUGGAAAGUUCACACUGUGACGGUAGCUUACCAGAAAGGGACGGCUAACUACGUG